UCAAAUUAAGUAAUAAGAUAAUAUUUAAACGACUAAUAUUUAAAUUGGAUAGUGUUCCCUCCUCUUUAGCCGAAUGUAGACUCUUUCGUACUCUUUGAUUGUCUAGAGUUAAUUGUCUUUUAAUUAAAUAAUUAAUUUGAAGUAGACUUAAUGAAGAAUGUAAAAUUGGAACUUGAUUCCAUGUGGAGAUUUAGCUAAG
rnacentral:lncRNA from 1 species